UCACUUCCAGAGUGCAGAUACUAAACUGGAAUGAUACAGAGAAGGUCAUCAUGGCCCCUGUGCAAGGAUGAUAUGGGACUUCACGCAGCAUGCUGUGCCUUU